rnacentral:rRNA from 1 species
UACGGAGGGGGCUAGCGUUGCUCGGAAUCACUGGGCGUAAAGCGCACGUAGGCGGCUUUUUAAGUCAGAGGUGAAAUCCUGGAGCUCAACUCCAGAACUGCCUUUGAUACUGGAGAGCUUGAGUCCGGGAGAGGUGAGUGGAACUGCGAGUGUAGAGGUGAAAUUCGUAGAUAUUCGCAAGAACACCAGUGGCGAAGGCGGCUCACUGGCCCGGUACUGACGCUGAGGUGCGAAAGCGUGGGGAGCAAACAGG